rnacentral:rRNA from 1 species
UACAGAGGGUGCGAGCGUUGUUCGGAAUUAUUGGGCGUAAAGCGCUUGUAGGCGGCACGUCAAGUCGCGUGUGAAAUCCCCAGGCUUAACCUGGGAAGUGCGCGCGAAACUGACGAGCUUGAGUGCCGGAGAGGGUCGCGGAAUUCCCGGUGUAGAGGUGAAAUUCGUAGAUAGUCGGGAGGAACACCAGUGGCGAAGGCGGCUUGACGUGGACCGGUUCU